rnacentral:rRNA from 1 species
UGGCGAGUGGCGAACGGGUGAGUAACAUAUCGGAACGUACCGGGUAGCGGGGGAUAACUGAUCGAAAGAUCAGCUAAUACCGCAUACGUCUUGAGAGGGAAAGCAGGGGACCUUCGGGCCUUGCGCUAUCCGAGCGGCCGAUAUCUGAUUAGCUGGUUGGCGGGGUAAAGGCCCACCAAGGCGACGAUCAGUAGCGGGUCUGAGAGGAUGAUCCGCCACACUGGGACUGAGACACGGCCCAGACUCCUACGGGAGGCAGCAGUGGGGAAUUUUGGACAAUGGGCGCAAGCCUGAUCCAGCCAUGUCGCGUGUCUGAAGAAGGCCUUCGGGUUGUAAAGGACUUUUGUCAGGGAAGAAAAGGCCGUUGCCAAUAUCGGCGGCCGAUGACGGUACCUGAAGAAUAAGCACCGGCUAACUACGUGCCAGCAGCCGCGGUAAUACGUAGGGUGCGAGCGUUAAUCGGAAUUACUGGGCGUAAAGCGGGCGCAGACGGUUACUUAAGCAGGAUGUGAAAUCCCCGGGCUCAACCCGGGAACUGCGUUCUGAACUGGGUGACUCGAGUGUGUCAGAGGGAGGUGGAAUUCCACGUGUAGCAGUGAAAUGCGUAGAGAUGUGGAGGAAUACCGAUGGCGAAGGCAGCCUCCUGGGAUAACACUGACGUUCAUGUCCGAAAGCGUGGGUAGCAAACAGGAUUAGAUACCCUGGUAGUCCACGCCCUAAACGAUGUCAAUUAGCUGUUGGGCAACUUGAUUGCUUGGUAGCGUAGCUAACGCGUGAAAUUGACCGCCUGGGGAGUACGGUCGCAAGAUUAAAACUCAAAGGAAUUGACGGGGACCCGCACAAGCGGUGGAUGAUGUGGAUUAAUUCGAUGCAACGCGAAGAACCUUACCUGGUUUUGACAUGUGCGGAAUCCUCCGGAGACGGAGGAGUGCCUUCGGGAGCCGUAACACAGGUGCUGCAUGGCUGUCGUCAGCUCGUGUCGUGAGAUGUUGGGUUAAGUCCCGCAACGAGCGCAACCCUUGUCAUUAGUUGCCAUCAUUCGGUUGGGCACUCUAAUGAGACUGCCGGUGACAAGCCGGAGGAAGGUGGGGAUGACGUCAAGUCCUCAUGGCCCUUAUGACCAGGGCUUCACACGUCAUACAAUGGUCGGUACAGAGGGUAGCCAAGCCGCGAGGCGGAGCCAAUCUCACAAAACCGAUCGUAGUCCGGAUUGCACUCUGCAACUCGAGUGCAUGAAGUCGGAAUCGCUAGUAAUCGCAGGUCAGCAUACUGCGGUGAAUACGUUCCCGGGUCUUGUACACACCGCCCGUCACACCAUGGGAGUGGGGGAUACCAGAAGUAGGUAGGGUAACCGCAAGGAGCCC